AGUGAACGCUGGCGGUAGGCCUAACACAUGCAAGUCGAACGGCAGCACAGGAGAGCUUGCUCUCUGGGUGGCGAGUGGCGGACGGGUGAGGAAUACAUCGGAAUCUACUCUGUCGUGGGGGAUGACGUAGGGAAACUUACGCUAAUACCGCAUACGACCUACGGGUGAAAGCAGGGGACUUUCGGACCUUGCGCGAUUGAAUGAGCCGAUGUCGGAUUAGCUAGUUGGCGGGGUAAAGGCCCACCAAGGCGACGAUCCGUAGCUGGUCUGAGAGGAUGAUCAGCCACACUGGAACUGAGACACGGUCCAGACUCCUACGGGAGGCAGCAGUGGGGAAUAUUGGACAAUGGGCGCAAGCCUGAUCCAGCCAUACCGCGUGGGUGAAGAAGGCCUUCGGGUUGUAAAGCCCUUUUGUUGGGAAAGAAAUCCAGCUGGCUAAUACCCGGUUGGGAUGACGGUACCCAAAGAAUAAGCACCGGCUAACUUCGUGCCAGCCGCCGCCGUAA
rnacentral:rRNA from 1 species